rnacentral:lncRNA from 1 species
ACAGUGACCAAGAUGUGGGAAUUAACCAGGGACCUUAAAGCACCUGCUAUAAUAAUGCUCACUGAGGUAAAUGCUAAAUGGAGAGGAUGCCAAAUGGAAAUCCAGAUCUUCAGGAGGCAAUACAGAAACUCUGAAAUGAAAUUUGCUUACACAUGUACAGGCCGAAGCUAAUCAGAUCAAAGGGUAUGCAUUCAUUGGAAAGGAAAGAAGACAUUAAAAAUAAGGCUGCCUUAGUGCUACACCAUAUUCAUAACAUAAAGAUGAAAAAAAAUGGCAAGGGCUAGGAAAAGCGCUAAUAAAAAUGUGGGCCAGCAACAUCAGCAUCACCUUGGAGCAUGGUAAACAUUCCAGGAUUGAGGCCCAGGAAUAUUUGCUUUAACAAGCUCUCCAGGAUUUAAAAUCAUUAUUGAUACUACAUGAACUUGUUCUUGGAGACUCAGAUGACCAAUGACACCAAGGAAUCUCAUGGCAAAACCCCACAAAUCCAACUUGUAGGCCACAGGGUACCAGCCCUCAAGCAUGGUUGAUAAAACUAUUCACAAAAUAUCAUUGGAACAGUUGAAGAGAUGGAACUUACGAUAGGAAUUGGUGGAAAAAAGUCUUUUUCCCCCUUCACAUGGACUGCAGUUUUGAACUGUUAUCAAGUUGUCUGAUUUAACACCAAAGAGUGACUGAUACUCAGGCCCUGAAAGAGAAGGAGAGAAUCCCUCCAGGUCAGAAGAAGAAGAUAAUGAUUUUUUAAGAGUGUAUCAAGAGAUUGAUGACAUAAAGAGGAAUUUCAGGCAGGCGAAGGAAAUGACUGGAAAUAAACGUCUCAAGCUUUGCUGGUCUUCCGCCGUCGUCUUUCAGAGCUGCCACAGGCAACAACUUCACAGCCUUAUUGACCAUGAAGCAGAGAUGGUUUCCAUUAAAAUUUGCGAAAUUAACUCUCUGGAUGCUUUUGGACAAAGAACAAAAAGUCAGGCCUGAGGUUUCACUGACUUAACAAUAUCCACUUUUCUUUUAUGUAUUAUUGUGAUUUUUUACUCUCCUCUUUUAAACAAUCAUUGUUUCAAGCAUUUUUAAAACUAUCAGUACAUCAAACUUCUAUGAAUUAGGGAAGUAAUAUUAAACAAAUUCGAUCAUGAUGCUCCCUUCACAGAUCAUGUUUACCCUGAAUUCCAGCCCUAAGCUUUCUGUUCUCUUGCUGGACCACUGAGAAGGAACUUGUAAGCAGUGUGAAUUUGAGACCACACUUUCAUCUGUGACAGUGCGUAGUGUCACUUUCGGAAUAUCUUGGGAAAAAGAAGUUAUAACUGUGUAUAAUUUUGUAUCUUCUUAUCUUCCUUGUAGAGGGUUACCAAACGAUUCAUUAACUUGUCAGAUUAUUUGGUUACUACAUGUCUCAAUCAUUUCUACUCAUUUAAUUUUUCACCUCUACACUUUGUGUUAACUGAGCAACUUUGAUGUUUAAUUGUUUGCCUUUCCUUACAUUAUGGAUUUCUUAUUUGAAAUAUCCUGGCUUACUUCCAUUUUUAUAAUCCCUCUGCCCCUCUCUGCCCCUUCCUUCCUUCCUCCUUCUUUUCCUGCCUCCUGGUUCUCUCCCUUAUUUCAAAAUAAGGGGAGGGUCAUAGAUUUCUAACCCUUAUUCAAUAUUUAUCAUGUGCUAAGUAUAGAGGUAGAUAUAUAUGUAUCUGUAUGCAUAUUUACAUAUAUAAUUCUUUUUCUAGUUUCACAGUCAUACUCUGAGGUAGGAAUUAUCAUCCCCACCUUGCCCCGCCAGUUUGCAGAUAGAGCUUAGAAAGCACAGGUGAACUGACCCAAGUUAGGAGAUGGCAGAGUCAGAGACGGUAUCAAACUAAAUACUUCCUUUCCCUAUAGAAUGAGAUUCUUAACCAUUCUGCCUAUGCUUUUGACCAGAGCCACAGAAUGUCCUUUAAAAUAGGAAGUUAGGAGUUCUCCUUGUGGCACAGUGGUUAAUGAAUCCGACUAGGAACCAUGGGGUUGUGGGUUUGAUCCCUGGCCUUGCUCAGUGGGUUAAGGAUCCGGUGUUGUUGUGAGCUGCGGUGUAGGUUGCAGACGCGGCUCAGAUCCCGCAUUACUGUGGCUCUAGCAUAGGCCGGUGGCUACCGCUCUGACCCUUAGCCUGGGAACCUCCAUAUGCCAUGGGAAGCGGCACUAGAAAAGGCAAAAAGACAAAAAAA